AUUGAAACACCGGUUCAGAUACGAUCGCCGAAGUUAAGCAACGUCGAGCCUGGUCAGUAUCUUGAUGGGUAACCGCUCGUGAAUACUAGUUGCUGUAAG